rnacentral:rRNA from 1 species
GCCCUUAGAGUUUGAUCCUGGCUCAGAACGAACGCUGGCGGCGUGCCUAACACAUGCAAGUCGAACGGGCCUGUUCUUCGGAGCGAGUCCGUGGCGCACGGGUGAGUAACACGUAGGUUACCUACCUUUCGGAGGGGAAUAACCCAGAGAAAUCUGGGAUAAUACCCCAUAAGAAGGCAACUUGAAAGGGUGCUUUUGCAUCCGCCGAAAGAUGGGCCUGCGGGAUAUUAGCUUGAUGGUGGGGUAAUGGCCUACCAUGGCAACGAUGUCUUGCCGGUCUGAGAGGAUGAUUGGCCACACUGGAACUGAGACACGGUUCAGACUCCUACGGGAGGCAGCAGUGGGGAAUAUUGCGCAAUGGGGGAAACCCUGACGCAGCAACGCCGCGUGAAUGAGGAAGACCUUAGGGUUGUAAAGUUCUGUCGGGUGGGAAGAACGGUAUAGGGUCUAAUAGGCCCUGUAUUUGACAUUACCACCAAAGGAAGCACCGCCAACUU